rnacentral:misc_RNA from 1 species
GAUGAAGAACGCAGCGAAAUGCGAUAAGUAAUGUGAAUUGCAGAAUUCAGUGAAUCAUCAAAUCUUUGAACGCACAUUGCGCCCGUCAGUAUUCUGGCGGGCAUGCCUGUUCGAGCGUCAUUACGCCCCUCAAGUCCCCUGUGGACUUGGUGUUGGGGAUCGGCGAGGCUGGUUUUCCAGCACAGCCGUCCCUUAAAUUAAUUGGCGGUCUCGCCGUGGCCCUCCUCUGCGCAGUAGUAAAACACUCGCAACAGGAGCCCGGCGCGGUCCACUGCCGUAAAACCCCCCAACUUUUUAUAGUUGACCUCGAAUCAGGUAGGACUACCCGCUGAACUUAAGCAUAUCAAUAAGCGGAGGA